CCUACGGGAGACAGCAGUGGGGAAUAUUGCACAAUGGGGGGAACCCUGAUGCAGCGACGCCGCGUGGGUGAGGAAGUACUUCGGUAUGUAAAGCUCUAUCAGCAGGGAAGAAAAUGACGGUACCUGAGUAAGAAGCCCCGGCUAACUACGUGCCAGCAGCCGCGGUAAUACGUAGGGGGCAAGCGUUAUCCGGAUUUACUGGGUGUAAAGGGAGCGUAGACGGCAGUGCAAGUCUGGAGUGAAAGGCGGGGGCUCAACCCCCGGACUGCUCUUGAAACUGUACGGCUGGAGUGCAGGAGAGGUAAGUGGAAUUCCUAGUGUAGCGGUGAAAUGCGUAGAUAUUAGGAGGAACACCAGUGGCGAAGGUGGCUUACUGGACUAUAACUGACGUUGAGGCUCGAAAGCGUGGGGAGCAAACAGGAUUAGAUACCCCUGUAGUC
rnacentral:rRNA from 1 species